rnacentral:lncRNA from 1 species
UUAGAUAUUAUAUUUUUAUAUAUUUUUCACUUAAAAACAAAUCAAUACUAUGAAAAGAGAAAUAGUCUUAAAAAAUCUAAUAUAAAAAAUUUGUUGGAGUCAUGUAUAACUAUUCUUUGUUUAGUAAUACCGUUAAUCAUUCUCACCAUACAAUAUUUUAAAUAUUUUUAACAGCUCAUAAUAUUAUUCCUUAUGAUACCUUACUGAGAAAAAUAUUUUAUCAACCAUGUUUUUGUACAAUAACGUUAAAAAUCUACAUCAAAAGGUUGUUAGACCUGAUAUUGACGUAAUGGGUCCAUAUAUGUUUGGGUAUUUAGGAUUCUAAAAAAAAAUCGAAAUAUCUAAAAAAAAUCUGAAAAUAUUCGAAACUCCAAACAAAUACCCAAAAAAUUCAAAUACCUAAAAAUUUAAAAUCUUAUUCAAAAUCUGACACGAUGAACUGGAAAAUUUUAAUUUGAAAAUUUACAUGAAAUCAAAAACUAUAAUCGUAAACCAAAAACUUAAAAAAAAAUAUCCAUAUUACCGGAAACAUAUUUGAAAUAUCCAAAUAUACCUAAUAAACACAACAUAUUUAUGAUCGGGUCUAGGGUAGGAUCCAGACUCAAACAAAGAUCUGCGG